UUGACGAUGUGUUGCGGAAGAUCUUGACGGAUGAGCUAUUAAUUUUAUUUAAUUUUGAUGGCAGAAAGAAUAAGAAAGCGCUCACUAAGCUGAAGCUUGUCAACGAAAUUUUAUUCGGUGUGUUUCAAUCUGAAGGACGACCCACCUAUGAAAAAAUCCUCCGCAAAUGUGUCGAGCUGAGCCACAACAGGUGGCGACAGAAGAAAUUGUUGGGAAAUCGUUCAGUCACCAGCCAGGUAAAUGAGGCAUCUCUCUCAAACAAUAGUCUACUGAAUGAUGUAAAUUGACUGGAGUAAUUCGUAACUCUUUUUAAUUAAGUAUCUAUUAAGCACCUAUUAAACGUUACAUUAUAUACAGUAAA